rnacentral:rRNA from 1 species
AUUGAACGCUGGCGGCAGGCCUAACACAUGCAAGUCGAGCGGGGUUUUCGGACCUAGCGGCGGACGGGUGAGUAAUGCGUAGGAAGCUGCCCGAUAGAGGGGGAUACCAGUUGGAAACGGCUGUUAAUACCGCAUAAUGUCUACGGACCAAAGUGUGGGACCUUCGGGCCACAUGCUAUCGGAUGCGCCUACGUGGGAUUAGCUAGUUGGUGAGGUAAUGGCUCACCAAGGCGACGAUCUCUAGCUGGUUUGAGAGGAUGAUCAGCGAGACUGGAACUGAGACACGGUCCAGACUCCUACGGGAGGCAGCAGUGGGGAAUAUCGGACAAUGGGCGCAAGCCUGAUCCAGCCAUGCCGCGUGUGUGAAGAAGGCCUUCGGGUUGUAAAGCACUUUCAGCGAGGAGGAAGGGUGGUGUGUUAAUAGCACAUCAUUUUGACGUUACUCGCAGAAGAAGCACCGGCUAACUCUGUGCCAGCCGCCGCCGUAAAAC